rnacentral:rRNA from 1 species
UACGGGGGGGGUAAGCGUUGUUCGGAAUUACUGGGCGUAAAGGGCUCGUAGGCGGCCAACUAAGUCAGACGUGAAAUCCCUCAGCUUAACUGGGGAACUGCGUCUGAUACUGGAUGGCUUGGAUUCGGGAGAGGAAUGCGGAAUUCCAGGUGUAGCGGUGAAAAUGCGUAGAUAUCUGGAGGAACACCGGUGGCGAAAGCGGCUUCCUGGUCCAGCACCGACGUCAGGUACGAAAGCGUGGGGAGCAAACAGG